rnacentral:SRP_RNA from 1 species
GCUGGGUGAGGUGACACGUGCCUGUGCCUGCAGUCCCAGCUACUCGGGAGGCUGAGACUGGAGGAUCGCUUGAGCCCAGGAGUUCUGGGCUGUAGUGCGCUAUGCCGAUCGGGUGUCCGCACUAAGUUCGGCAUCAUUAUGGUGACCUCCUGGGAGCAAGGGACCACCAGGAUGCCUAAGGAGGGGUGAACCGGCCCAGGUCAGAAACAGAGCAGGUCAAAACUCCCAUGCUGAUCAGUAGUGGGAUCGUGACUGUGAAUAGCCACUGCACUCCAGCCUGGGCAACAUAGUGAGACCCCAUCUCU